GGACGCUAGCGGCGGAUGGGUGAGUAACACGUGGGCAAUCUGCCCUAAAGACUGGGAUACCACUUGGAAACAGGUGCUAAUACCGGAUAACAACAUGAAUCGCAUGAUUCAAGUUUGAAAGGCGGCGUAAGCUGUCACUUUAGGAUGAGCCCGCGGCGCAUUAGCUAGUUGGUGGGGUAAAGGCCUACCAAGGCAAUGAUGCGUAGCCGAGUUGAGAGACUGAUCGGCCACAUUGGGACUGAGACACGGCCCAAACUCCUACGGGAGGCAGCAGUAGGGAAUCUUCCACAAUGGACGCAAGUCUGAUGGAGCAACGCCGCGUGAGUGAAGAAGGUUUUCGGAUCGUAAAGCUCUGUUGUUGGUGAAGAAGGAUAGAGGCAGUAACUGGUCUUUAUUUGACGGUAAUCAACCAGAAAGUCACGGCUAACUACGUGCCAGCAGCCGCGGUAAUACGUAGGUGGCAAGCGUUGUCCGGAUUUAUUGGGCGUAAAGCGAGCGCAGGCGGAAUGAUAAGUCUGAUGUGAAAGCCCACGGCUCAACCGUGGAACUGCAUCGGAAACUGUCAUUCUUGAGUGCAGAAGAGGAGAGUGGAAUUCCAUGUGUAGCGGUGGAAUGCGUAGAUAUAUGGAAGAACACCAGUGGCGAAGGCGGCUCUCUGGUCUGCAACUGACGCUGAGGCUCGAAAGCAUGGGUAGCGAACAGGAUUAGAUACCCUGGUAGUCCAUGCCGUAAACGAUGAGCGCUAGGUGUUGGGGACUUUCCGGUCCUCAGUGCCGCAGCAAACGCAUUAAGCGCUCCGCCUGGGGAGUACGACCGCAAGGUUGAAACUCAAAGGAAUUGACGGGGGCUCGCACAAGCGGUGGAGCAUGUGGUUUAAUUCGAAGCAACGCGAAGAACCUUACCAAGUCUUGACAUCCUGCGCCACACCUAGAGAUAGGUGGUUCCCUUCGGGGACGCAGAGACAGGUGGUGCAUGGCUGUCGUCAGCUCGUGUCGUGAGAUGUUGGGUUAAGUCCCGCAACGAGCGCAACCCUUGUCUUUAGUUGCCAUCAUUAAGUUGGGCACUCUAAAGAGACUGCCGGUGACAAACCGGAGGAAGGUGGGGAUGACGUCAAGUCAUCAUGCCCCUUAUGACCUGGGCUACACACGUGCUACAAUGGGCAGUACAACGAGAAGCGAACCCGCGAGGGUAAGCGGAUCUC
rnacentral:rRNA from 1 species